GACGUAGGGUGCAAGCGUUGUCCGGAUUUAUUGGGCGUAAAGAGCUCGUAGGCGGCUUGUUGCGUCGACUGUGAAAACCCGCGGCUUAACCGCGGGCUUGCAGUUGAUACGGGCAGGCUAGAGUUCGGUAGGGGAGACUGGAAUUCCUGGUGUAGCGGUGAAAUGCGCAGAUAUCAGGAGGAACACCGGUGGCGAAGGCGGGUCUCUGGGCCGUGACUGACGCUGAGACGCGAAAGCGUGGGGAGCAAACAGG
rnacentral:rRNA from 1 species